AAGAGGCAUAUGGAUCCCAGGAAGAGAGCUGGCUUGUGCUGUGGCAGCUACAGACGUGUUCUGGGACAGUUGGCAGUUGAGUGGCGGCCAUCAUAGAGGACAGGAGGAGCUGAGAGACAAGGCCGGCGCUGCUGUGAUUCCUUGCCAGGGAGAUAGGACAGAGACACGUCUCUCUCGAGUAGGGUAGAGUCAGAGACCCUGAGAGACAGCUCCAUAGUGGCAGAGCCCACCAUACUUCCAGCAACAGUGUGAGUGACAGCACCAGGAGGCCCUCUGAGAGAAGUAGCUGGCUGGAGGAAGGAGCAGCCUCUUUGACAGUGUCUACAGUACAAGCAACCAGAGAGCGCUGCCCACCUGUGUGUUCAGGGUGCCUGCAGCCGCGUCCCCAUGGCAACCCCGGGGCUGGAGCGCAAGCCGGGUGCUGCUAUGGCAACAGCUGGAAGUCACGGCCAGGAAGUGUGUCAUUGUGCAGGGAAUUGGACUACAGGUGCGUCCAGGUGCGGGUGAGCGGCGCUGAUCAGGGAGAGUUAAGAAGGGGAAUUUAUCUAACCCAUUCUUAAAGGUGUUGACUGAGUCCGCUGUUACUACUCUCUCAGGCUGGGAAUUCCAAACACGUAUUGUCCUUACUGUGAAAAAACCUUUUUGCCUCAAUUUGCGGAAACUCCUCUCCUCUAACCUAACAUUACACAAAACCUGUCACGAUCCGGGUAUCUGGACGCCAUUACUUGCCUUUUAGAUGUCUCCUGAGGCUGGCUCAGCGUUCCAGAGCCGGAUCUCAACUGUGUUACUGAUGUCCACACUCUGCAUCUCCCUCCUGUCACUCUGAGACACUGUCACAGCGGCGCCAUGUUUGAUUUCUGUAUGGCGUCUCCCGUCCUCCGCGGCCUCCGCCGCCGUUCCUGUGUUCCAGUAUACAGGUUGUCAUAGUGAUGUCUCAUGCCUGCCGCGGCCUUCGCUGUCAUCCAUGUGUCCCAGUGUGCAGUUGUCAGUUUGGCAUCUUCUGUCCUCCGCGGCCUGCGCCGCCAUUGCUGCUGUGUUUCCACAUGGUUUUCCAAACCAACUUUCUCUCCAAGUACUAACAUGGGUGCAGCCAUGUUGGUUUCAGUCACAUGUUCAAUCUCCACCAAUCCGCUGCGCUGUGGAAUCUGCAUGAUUGAUCAGCCAAUGCCUGCAUUGCAGCAGGUAUGAAUAUCCUGUGCCUGAACCAGGAAAUGGUCAGUGCUUUGGUUGUCAAACCUAGUUCCAGUCUCUCUCUCCUGUGGUUGUUUCUCCAGGUUUCCAGCUCCUGUCUCCAGCCUCCACUAAGAGACCCGCACCUGCUUUCCAUCCUGCAGUGCAGCCUGACUCUGCAGUCCUCCGUGGCUAUUCCAGCUUCCAGCUAUUAACCCAUCUGCUUCCAGCGGUUAGCUUCCAGCAGUAUCCAGCUUCUUUAAAGUGCCGGUGUUGUUCCAGCGGAUCCCUACUUACCAGCAGUCUCCACUAACCACCGGUAACCACUUUUCAACUCUCCUGUUUCCACGCUCUCUAGCAUCAUACAGCAUCCACUCCGUGACUUCAUCACCUGGCUGGUUCCAUCCAGCAUCCACUCCGUGACUUCAUCACCUGGCUGGUUCCAUCCAGCAUCCACUCCGUGUCUUCAUCACCUGGCUGAUUCCAUUCAGCGUCCACUCCGUGUUUCUACCACCUGGCUGGUUCUAUCCAGUAUCUACAACAGUCUGUUCAAGUUACCAGCUUUACCUAUUACACCUGCUGGCGUGUUCCUCGGCUACGUUCACUACUACAGACAGGCCUGGUAAGGAUAUUCCAUCAAUGGGACUUUAACAUCUGUUCCUCAACCUACCAGUGCUCUGUGGCGCCUCUCAAGGUUAUAGUGAUCCAGGAACUGUUUUAUUUAUCUCUGCUUAUUAUUAUCUUUGAUUACUGUUGUAUCAACACGGAGUCUGUUAAUAAAUCUUUUAUUGACUUUUAAA